CGUAGCUCAGUUGGUUAGAGCACAUCACUCAUAAUGAUGGGGUCACAGGUUCGAAUCCCGUCG
rnacentral:tRNA from 14 species